rnacentral:rRNA from 1 species
UACGAAGGGGGCUAGCGUCGCUCGGAUUGACUGGGCGUAAAGGGCGCGUAGGCGGUUUGUCCAGUCAGACGUGAAAUUCCUGGGCUCAACCUGGGGGCUGCGUUUGAUACGUGCGAGCUUGAGUUCGGAAGAGGGUCGUGGAAUUCCCAGUGUAGAGGUGAAAUUCGUAGAUAUUGGGAAGAACACCGGUGGCGAAGGCGGCGAUCUGGUCCGGUACUGACGUUGAGGUGCGAAAGCGUGGGGAGCAAACAGG